rnacentral:lncRNA from 1 species
GGACGAGGUUUUGACUCUGUAAACCCAAAACCUCUCUGAACAGUGGGUCCACAACCUCCGUUUUGUCCAAGGAUCACUCAGAUGUAAAGAUGUAGAGAGGGAGAGAGAGAAAAAAGGUGUGGGAGGGCCAAAGUGGUGCAGAGAGGAUGGGUUGGACGAACAGGAACACAUAUUGGGGGAGGGGAGGGAGAGUCAAGGGGUGGUUUUGCACUAGCCUGGAAGCUACAGUAUCUGGCAGGAGGCACACUCUUCUUGUUGUGCCAUUAGCUUUUGAUCCACGGUGACCAUCUUCUCCCUGCUUUGUGGCCGCUAUGCAUUCCCAGCUCCUUGCAUCAGCGUAUCUGUCGUGGCACGAGUGAUCAUCAGAAUCGUGUGUCAAGAAGCAGCGAGACCCUUCUUUUGAAGGUUGCAGACCAGCUUUGGACUUUGAACCCACUGAUGAUGUGCCACUUGCUUCUGUUUGGUGACCCACCUCAAGUCUGGCUUGUAGUUGGCACUUUGUAGCGGGAAUGUCUUGGCCGUUGGAAGAGACAUACAGAACUGCAAGCAGUACCAUGUCCAGGCAACCCCGGCCUGGAAUCUUUGCUGGCCUAUGGCUCCCAUAAGUGGGUGCUGCCGUGUACCAUACUCGUGGCCAUUUUACAAAUCGUCUUAAGGUGGCUUUUCCUCAGGACAUCGCUUGAACGACCUGGUCUCUGCAGGGAGCAUGACGUCCGGUGGGAGUACGUGCUCGACACCCAGCCCAAAGACCCCCGUUAAUGGUUAUCCUGUCAGUGUGUACCCCUUCCUGUUUUCUGGGAGCAAAACCUGUGAGGUAUCUACGCAGGUUGGACCAUUGCACCAUCACAUGACAUUUGGAAAUGGCUACAGCACCCCAUCACCCACAGAUCCUUCCUCUUCAGACCCCCGUCGACGAAAUGCCACCGUUCACCCUCCUCGUCCUUCGUGGCUGACAGGAUCGAGAUGGCAGGAUGAUGCUCGUAGGAGUGUUCUAUUUCCAUGGAAGCAUCGACACUAACUGCUCGUGAAACUUUCCUUUCUUUUCUCCUGUUUUUGUUCCUUCCUUCACGAGCCUUCUCAGUCUUUUCGUCUUCUGCUUUGGCAAGCUUGUCCCAUUUGUUUCUCCUUUCUGCUUCCCUCAGCCUUCUGCCCUCUCUUCCGCUUUCUGCCUUUUGCUUCUCCCCUUUCUGCUGUCUGAGCCGUCUGCUCAGGAGCGCUCUUUAUCCCUGCUCGCACUAGCUUGUCACGAGUCUUUCUCUGUGCACUUAUGCUUCUUCUUCACAUCCGCUUUCUUCCUCUCUCCCUACAAGCCUUCUCCCCCUCCCAUUGGUCCACAGCUGAUGGGGGCAGGUGCAUGAGUCACUUGUGAAAUUGCCACAACAUUCUGAGGGAACUUUCAAUGACGCCCCCGCUCCACCCGCUACACGCCCAUAGCCACAACGAGAGCCCUUAGACCCUCCUUCGCAUGGAAAACGCCCAGUCACACUGUUUUGCACUAUACCACGCCCGAGAGAAACGCCGCACCUCACAGGCCACGCUGAGCACCAAAUGCCAUGAACAUGCAUGCAAAACGCGACACGAGCAUGCAUGAGAGAGCACCCGAUGGGUUACCAAGCAAUGCGCGGAUGGAGGAAACAUGGAAAGGAACCCCGCAAGACCGAGGGAUGACCGAACGGUCGCGGGAUUGAGGGAAGACCGAUGGGGUGAAGGAGGAACUGUUGAAAGGAUGUUUGAUGGAUGGGAGAUUAUUGGUCCUAUCAUUGGUUGGUCCUAUCACUGUCUACUCUGCUGAAAAAUUAAUUUGCUCUUAUUUUAUCAACACCUUUCAUUAUUUUAAACAUCUUUAUCAUAUCUCCUUGUAACCACCUCCUUUCUGGUGCAUAAAGCCAUGUCUCCUUCUGCCUCUCCUCAUCGCUGAGUCUUGCUCGGCCUGGAAUCAAUCUAAUAGUCCUGUGCUGAACCCUCUCUAUGGCAGCUAUAUCCUUCUUGAUGAGUUGUAGUGACCAAAACUGCACACAAUAUUCUAGAUGUGGCCCUCACUAAAUUCCUGUACAAUGUUAACACCACCUUUUGAUUUAUAAAUGAUCCCCCUCCGAAUACAACCGAAAACCAUAUUUGCUUCACCUGUAGCUGCCUGGCACUGUGCUGCCUGCUUACCUCCCGUAUCUAUUACCACCCCCAGAUCCUUCUCCUGUGUGACAUGCUCCAUAAUUACCCCUUGCAUCCUGUAAUCUCUAUUUUCAUUGUUUUUUCCCAUCCCCAACACCUUACACUUGCUCAGGUUAAAGUGCAUCUGCCAAUCUUUAGCCUAAUCUAUACAAGUAUCAAUACUUUCCUGAAUCUGAUCACCACCCCCUCUGCUCUCCACCUUACCUACAUGCUUUACAUCAUCUGCAAAUUUGGAAAGCUUACUCUUACCCCAUUAUCCAAAUCGUUGAUGUAAAUCAUGAAUAGUCCCAGAAAACAUGACCUCACAACCCUUUGCUUUCAGCCACUUACCCAAUAUCCUGUAUCUAUUUUUCAAAACCUCUGAUUAAACUUUCCCUAAAUCAUUUACUCCUCGGUGUACCACAAUCAACUUCUUCCUAUAAUGACCCGAUACAAUAUCGUUUACCCUUCCUGCAAUGUUCCUAACUCCCGCUCCUUCAAAAUUGCACAGAAUUCUGUCUACAUUCCUUCCUGCAGAAUGAAGAAUCCACAUAUUUAAUUCUCAUCACCCACAAAAACUGUCUCCCAUACCUCAUGUCUACCAAUUUCUAUUGCUGCACCAACAUUACUCCCUGCAGCCGCUACACCGUUGGUAAGAUUUCCAAAACCAUAACAAUAUUUUUGCUGCAAAUAAAAAUUAUUAACCAUAACAAGUCUCACCUCCAGCGUUAAAGUUGUGAAAACAACCGAAAUGGUCAUAGAAUCAACCCAAAUUCAGAUGUUUGUUGUAAAAGGUUUGGACGGAAUAAAUUCACCUUUCCUGAGUGAAAACAAAAUGGUGGAUGCUGCUAAUGCUGAUAUUGCCUGAUCUCCCUUCCAGUGACGAACACGACAUCACUUCCGGAAAGAUGAGGUCCCUUCCUCUGUGACAGAGAAAUAAAUACACAGGCCUUUUAUACAGUAUAUACGAUGUAGAUAUUUUUUAAAUAAAGUGCAUUGACAUCUCAGGUCCUUUGAAUGUAAAAUGUGUUCAAGUUUCUUCACUAGACUUACAAUCUCACAUAUAGAAUGAACCAGGGGUGGUUUUACUGGAGUUAAACUAAA